UACGUAGGGUGCAAGCGUUGUCCGGAAUUAUUGGGCGUAAAGAGCUCGUAGGCGGUUUGUUGCGUCGGCUGUGAAAUCCCGAGGCUCAACCUCGGGUCUGCAGUCGAUACGAGCAAACUAGAGUGUUGCAGGGGAGACUGGAAUUCCUGGUGUAGCGGUGAAAUGCGUAGAUAUCGAGAGGAACACCUGCGGCGAAGGCGGGUAGCUGGGCCGACACUGACGCUGAUGCGCGAAAGCCAGGGGAGCGAACGGG
rnacentral:rRNA from 1 species